UACGAAGGGGGCUAGCGUUGCUCGGAAUCACUGGGCGUAAAGCGCACGUAGGCGGCUUUCUAAGUCAGGGGUGAAAUCCUGGAGCUCAACUCCAGAACUGCCUUUGAUACUGGAGAGCUUGAGUCCGGAAGAGGUGAGUGGAACUCCGAGUGUAGAGGUGAAAUUCGUAGAUAUUCGGAAGAACACCAGUGGCGAAGGCGGCUCACUGGUCCGGUACUGACGCUGAGGUGCGAAAGCGUGGGGAUCAAACAGG
rnacentral:rRNA from 1 species